UGGGGAAUAUUGCACAAUGGGCGCAAGCCUGAUGCAGCCAUGCCGCGUGUAUGAAGAAGGCCUUCGGGUUGUAACGUACUUUCAGCGGGGAGGAAGGUGUUGAGGUUAAUAACCUCAGCAAUUGACGUUACCCGCAGAAGAAGCACCGGCUAACUCCGUGCCAGCAGCCGCGGUAAUACGGAGGGUGCAAGCGUUAAUCGGAAUUACUGGGCGUAAAGCGCACGCAGGCGGUCUGUCAAGUCGGAUGUGAAAUCCCCGGGCUCAACCUGGGAACUGCAUUCGAAACUGGCAGGCUAGAGUCUUGUAGAGGGGGGUAGAAUUCCAGGUGUAGCGGUGAAAUGCGUAGAGAUCUGGAGGAAUACCGGUGGCGAAGGCGGCCCCCUGGACAAAGACUGACGCUCAGGUGCGAAAGCGUGGGGAGCAAACA
rnacentral:rRNA from 1 species